UGGGGAAUAUUGCACAAUGGGGGAAACCCUGAUGCAGCGACGCCGCGUGAGCGAAGAAGGUUUUCGAAUCGUAAAGCUCUGUCCUAUGAGAAGAUAAUGACGGUAUCAUAGGAGGAAGCCCCGGCUAAAUACGUGCCAGCAGCCGCGGUAAUACGUAUGGGGCGAGCGUUGUCCGGAAUUAGUGGGCGUAAAGGGUACGUAGGCGGUCUAUUAAGUCAGGUGUGAAAGCGUGAGGCUUAACCUCAUUAAGCACUUGAAACUGAUAGACUUGAGUGAAGGGGAGGAAAGUGGAAUUCCUAGUGUAGCGGUGAAAUGCGUAGAUAUUAGGAGGAAUACCGGUGGCGAAGGGGACUUUCUGGACUCUUACUGACGCUCAGGUACGAAAGCGUGGGGAGCAAACAGG
rnacentral:rRNA from 1 species